rnacentral:rRNA from 1 species
CAGCGGAGGGAUCAUUACCGAGUUAUACAACUCAUCAACCCUGUGAACAUACCUAAAACGUUGCUUCGGCGGGAACAGACGGCCCUGUAACAACGGGCCGCCCCCGCCAGAGGACCCCUAACUCUGUUUUUAUAAUGUUUUUCUGAGUAAACAAGCAAAUAAAUUAAAACUUUCAACAACGGAUCUCUUGGCUCUGGCAUCGAUGAAGAACGCAGCGAAAUGCGAUAAGUAAUGUGAAUUGCAGAAUUCAGUGAAUCAUCGAAUCUUUGAACGCACAUUGCGCCCGCCAGUAUUCUGGCGGGCAUGCCUGUUCGAGCGUCAUUACAACCCUCAGGCCCCCGGGCCUGGCGUUGGGGAUCGGCGGAAGCCCCCUGUGGGCACACGCCGUCCCUCAAAUACAGUGGCGGUCCCGCCGCAGCUUCCAUUGCGUAGUAGCUAACACCUCGCAACUGGAGAGCGGCGCGGCCAUGCCGUAAAACACCCAACUUCUGAAUGUUGACCUCGAAUCAGGUAGGAAUACCCGCUGAACUUAAG